UACGAAGGGGGCUAGCGUUGCUCGGAAUCAUUGGGCGUAAAGAGCGUGUAGGCGGCUUGGCAAGUCUGACGUGAAAUCCCGCGGCUCAACCGCGGUAGGUCGUUGGAAACUGCCUCGCUAGGGUCCGGAAGAGGAGAGCGGAAUUCCUGGUGUAGCGGUGGAAUGCGCAGAUAUCAGGAAGAACACCCGUGGCGAAGGCGGCUCUCUGGGACGGUACUGACGCUGAGACGCGAAAGCGUGGGGAGCGAACAGG
rnacentral:rRNA from 1 species